rnacentral:rRNA from 1 species
AGUGAACGCUGGCGGUAGGCCUAACACAUGCAAGUCGAACGGCAGCACAGUAAGAGCUUGCUCUUACGGGUGGCGAGUGGCGGACGGGUGAGGAAUACAUCGGAAUCUACUUUUUCGUGGGGGAUAACGUAGGGAAACUUACGCUAAUACCGCAUACGACCUACGGGUGAAAGCAGGGGAUCUUCGGACCUUGCGCGAUUGAAUGAGCCGAUGUCGGAUUAGCUAGUUGGCGGGGUAAAGGCCCACCAAGGCGACGAUCCGUAGCUGGUCUGAGAGGAUGAUCAGCCACAAUGGAACUGAGACACGGUCCCGACUCCUACGGGAGGCAGCAGUGGGGAAUAUUGGACAAUGGGCGCAAGCCUGAUCCAGCCAUACCGCGUGGGUGAAGAAGGGCUUCGGGUUGUAAAGCCCUUUUGUUGGGAAAAAAAAGCAGCAGGUUAAUACCACGCUGUUCUGACGGUACCCAAAGAAUAAGCACCGGCUAACUUCGUG